ACGAACAGACUUUCAUAUAAACAACUAGACCAAAGCAGCUAUUACAGACAUGAUUAUAAGAUUCUCUUGGGUUUUCCGCUCCUGUGAAUUCCCAUAUGAACGGACACAUGUCUUCAAUCAGAGGCCUCUUUUGCUCUCUCCCUAGCCGACACAUAACGCGUAAAGGUGUGUAGGGUUGGAAACCUUUGAAACCCAUGAGUAUGUAGAAUGGGCGAUAUGUUGACAUGUGCAUGCCUUUAGGGGAAGGUAAUCAAUAAUAGUUCCAAGUGAGUUUACCCGCAUCAAGUGAAGCAAGUAAUUCCUGCCAAGCCUUCACUCCAUUUGGGAGAUUACAACGUGUGGCCCUAUAUGGGUGAGAAAAAAUGUAAUUUAGCCAGUCUUCUUUGAAACUUAUCACUGUUGGAUGACAAUAAAGAUGCUCUAUGAACCACAUUUGCAGCAAAAUGUUGCAUCCUUCGAAGUAAUCUCUACCUUCUUGACAUCUGGUUAAAGCUCGAAAAAUGUCCCCCAAAAUCACAGGAAGAAUGGUGUGUUUUUUUCUAUUUUGUAAAUACGAGACUACUGACAAUAAUCAAAUUCUGAUGCGUCCGUCGCGCUCUAGGAAGACCAUUGUCCCUAGAAACAAAAUCAUGAAUGCGAAGAUCCUCAACUCUUUCCAAGCAUCGUAACUUAGCUGGUUGACAAAUUCUGUGGUCGAGAAUUUCUCAAAUCCUUUCUCGUUCCCAAAUCUGUCAUAGAGGUAGUCUAAUGAAACCCACCCUUCAUUUAAGCAACCCAAUGUGAUUCGGCGUAGGCAUAAUUUCUUCAAAAGGUUGUUCACUCCCACUUUCCUUGGAGCGGCAGGCUAAGGUAGUCUAAUGAAACCCAUCCUUCAUUUAAGCAACCCAAUGGGAUUCGGCGUAGGCAUAAUUUCUUCAAAAAGUUGUUCACACCCACUUUCCUUGGAGCCGCAGGCUUUUUCCUAUGAAGGUCUCUCCCAAAUCCGGUAAACCCACCUAAUUUCUCCAGUGUGGGAGUCAUUUCGGAAUCUUUGAACCUGAAGACAUUGUUUGUCGGGUCCCAAAAACUCACCAGAGCCUCAAUCAGAUCCUUGUCAGGAUUAAUUCCCAUGAUGUCCGUGAGGAACUUAAGGUGCUUAAUAAUUUAAUUUCGUUCCCAAAGGGCAAACUAGUCCACCAAUUAUAGAGACUGCUCGGGGUCUUAUCUCAGAUCACGAACAUAGGAGGCUUUUCGUCCCUUGCCCAUGAGGAACUUGAGGUGUUUAAAAUUUUGAUUUCAUUCCCAAAGGGCAAACUAGUCCACCAAUUAUAGAGAGUGCUCGGGGUCUUAUCUAGGAUCAUGAACAUAGGAGGCUUUUCGUCCCUUGCUCUUUUCUGGCCAUUUCUUUGCGGAGUACCAAUGAUGAUCCUAAAAAUAAAGAAAUAAUGAAAAAUUAAGACUCGCCUAACCCAUAUACAGACUCUAAAAAAAAGAUUGCCGUUGUUUUUUCCCUAUUAGAAAAAUUGGCGCCCUCAAUACGACCUUUCAGCACUUAAAGAAGAUAUUAAGGCUGUGUUUUGUUCACCGAAGAAAAAUUUUAAGGGAUGACUAUAGGUAAAUGCUCUUGCGAAACAGUCCUCCAGCGCCCUUUUUCUAGACGUUUGGCUGUUUUACUUAAGAAUAACAUUACCUUUACAUCAUGACAAAAUCAU
rnacentral:lncRNA from 1 species